rnacentral:rRNA from 1 species
GACGGGUGAGAAUCCCGUCCACCGAUUGACUAAGGUUUCCAGAGGAAGGCUCGUCCGCUCUGGGUUAGUCGGGUCCUAAGCUGAGGCCGACAGGCGUAGGCGAUGGAUAACAGGUUGAUAUUCCUGUACCACCUAUAAUCGUUUUAAUCGAUGGGGGGACGCAGUAGGAUAGGCGAAGCGUGCGAUUGGAUUGCACGUCUAAGCAGUAAGGCUGAGUAUUAGGCAAAUCCGGUACUCGUUAAGGCUGAGCUGUGAUGGGGAGAAGACAUUGUGUCUUCGAGUCGUUGAUUUCACACUGCCGAGAAAAGCCUCUAGAUAGAAAAUAGGUGCCCGUACCGCAAACCGACACAGGUAGUCAAGAUGAGAAUUCUAAGGUGAGCGAGCGAACUCUCGUUAAGGAACUCGGCAAAAUGACCCCGUAACUUCGGGAGAAGGGGUGCUCUUUAGGGUUAACGCCCAGAAGAGCCGCAGUGAAUAGGCCCAAGCGACUGUUUAUCAAAAACACAGGUCUCUGCUAAACCGUAAGGUGAUGUAUAGGGGCUGACGCCUGCCCGGUGCUGGAAGGUUAAGAGGAGUGGUUAGCUUCUGCGAAGCUACGAAUCGAAGCCCCAGUAAACGGCGGCCGUAACUAUAACGGUCCUAAGGUAGCGAAAUUCCUUGUCGGGUAAGUUCCGACCCGCACGAAAGGCGUAACGAUUUGGGCACUGUCUCAACGAGAGACUCGGUGAAAUCAUAGUACCUGUGAAGAUGCAGGUUACCCGCGACAGGACGGAAAGACCCCGUGGAGCUUUACUGUAGCCUGAUAUUGAAAUUCGGCACAGCUUGUACAGGAUAGGUAGGAGCCUUUGAAACGUGAGCGCUAGCUUACGUGGAGGCGCUGGUGGGAUACUACCCUAGCUGUGUUGGCUUUCUAACCCGCACCACUUAUCGUGGUGGGAGACAGUGUCAGGCGGGCAGUUUGACUGGGGCGGUCGCCUCCUAAAAGGUAACGGAGGCGCUCAAAGGUUCCCUCAGAAUGGUUGGAAAUCAUUCAUAGAGUGUAAAGGCAUAAGGGAGCUUGACUGCGAGACCUACAAGUCGAGCAGGGUCGAAAGACGGACUUAGUGAUCCGGUGGUUCCGCAUGGAAGGGCCAUCGCUCAACGGAUAAAAGCUACCCCGGGGAUAACAGGCUUAUCUCCCCCAAGAGUUCACAUCGACGGGGAGGUUUGGCACCUCGAUGUCGGCUCAUCGCAUCCUGGGGCUGUAGUCGGUCCCAAGGGUUGGGCUGUUCGCCCAUUAAAGCGGUACGCGAGCUGGGUUCAGAACGUCGUGAGACAGUU